rnacentral:rRNA from 1 species
GAGGAUGAUACCCUGGUAGUCCACACCGUAAACGCUGUCUACUAGCUGUCUGUGUAUUUAAUACGUGGGUAGCGUAGCUAACGCGCUAAGUAGACCGCCUGGGGAGUACGGCCGCAAGGUUAAAACUCAAAUGAAUUGACGGGGGCCCGCACAAGCGGUGGAGCAUGUGGUUUAAUUCGAUGCAACGCGAAGAACCUUACCAGGACUUGACAUCCUACUAAGUUACCAGAGAUGGUUUCGUGCCUUCGGGAAAGUAGUGACAGGUGCUGCAUGGCUGUCGUCAGCUCGUGCUG